rnacentral:lncRNA from 1 species
GCCGACGACGAGGUGGCCACCCGGGUGCAGCACGCUCCAUACUACGCCGUCAACUGCCACCACCGGGCUCCCCCGAAGGUAAGCCCACUUCUCCAUAGUUUCCUCCUCUCUCUUUCUUGUGGAUUUGCCUGUUGUCCUAGAGGGAAUUAGGUGAGUCAAGAUAUUCUCCUUUUGAUACCCGUACAUAGAUAUUGCCUGCAAAAUUUGCAGAUUAGGUCAGUCAUGAUAUCCUCUAUGCUCUAGGACAACAAACAGUGAACAAAAACCUUUAAUUUUUCAGUGUAUCUUGUGAUUAUUUUUUUGUAAUGCCUUUAUCACCAGAUCCUGGCUCCGAAAGAUGUGGGAACUGUUCAGUGUAUCUUGUGGUUAAUUUCUUUUGUAAUGCCUCUCUCGCCAGAUCGAGACUCUGAAAGAUGUGGGAGUUACAGAAGUUGUGUUGGCCAUCAAUUAACACUGGAAAUUUAAUUAAUCUCUCUAUAGUUAAUUUUAUUGCCCUGCAACGGUGUAUACCAGAUACAGCUGCGGCAAUUUAUCGAUCCAAUUUGAGUAAGUUUUAGUGCAGUUGCUUGGUUUGCUGCCUACUACAAGGCGAUUGACAACCUGCUCUUUUGCUUACGUGUUUGUCGGAAAGAGAAAGGGGCAAAUCCCUCUAAAGUAUUAUUCCAGUAUUCUCAUAUGAAGCUAAUCUGCUCUUUUGCUUGCGUGUCUGCCGGAAAGAGAUAGGGGCAAACCUCUCGAAAGUAUGAUUCCAGAAUUCUCAUAUUUUGAUCAAUUCCUAUAUAUAUGUUUGUGGGGUGUACUACCUUUUGUUAUGAUUCUUGAAGUACCACAUAACUUCGAUCCUUGUCUGCUAUUAUGUGAUGCCAUUGAUUGUUAUGUAUGCUUGCUCCUACCUCUUUCUUUCAGAAAUACCAUUUGUUUGGAUUACUUCCUAUUUUAAUUAACCAUGUUGUUUAUGCACAGAUUGGUUGGAUAGAGAUGGCUCGAAGGUUUUGUGGGUAGAAUGUGAGAUAUCCCAAUUAAAGUUCCAUGAAGAAAGAUCCCAAAUGAUGGCAUGUUGUGAUGCUACUCUAUGGCUUGUGGGCUAAAUUAGUAGGUGGACCAAUCCGUGCACUUAUUAUCCAUCACGUAUUUUCAUUCGUAGUUAUUUACUUCGGGACUUAUGUUGCAGAUGGAAGGAUAAUGAAUUAGCAGUUAAGGUGAUUAACCCCGGUAGGCAGGGGACGCGAGGAGGCAGGAAGCACAGUUGCAGUGCGGAGCAAGGCAAGUUUUCUGACCCAUUUCCCCCAAGAAUUGUUUUGCUAUGGUUGCUCUAUUGUUUCACAUGUUUAUUCUCCUUGCAGGAGUAGUAGUAUUUCUUCUAGAAUAGUUUUGUUGUUGUUCAUGGGAAAUCCCAGAGAAUUUUUUUUCUCUGUUCUUCCUUUUAGUGAAUCGACUAAGCUGAUUUGGGGCUUCUUCUUGAUAGGAUCGAGCGAGGCAACACUGCUCGGCUAGGGAUUUUCUUCCAUGGCCGCCAAAUCAAAGGUCCAAGUCCCAG